CCUACGGGAGGCAGCAGUGAGGAAUAUUGGUCAAUGGGCGCGAGCCUGAACCAGCCAAGUCGCGUGAGGGAGUACUGCCCUAUGGGUUGUAAACCUCUUUUGUCGGGGCGCAAAAGCCGGACGUGUCCGGCUGUGAGAGUACCCGAAGAAAAAGCAUCCGCUAACUCCGUGCCAGCCGCCGCGGUAAUACGGAGGAUGCGGGCGUUAUCCGGAUUUUGUGGGUUUAAAGGGUGCGCAGGCGGAUUUUUAAGUCAGCGGUAAAAUCGUGGGGCUCAACCCCAUCCAGCCGUUGAAACUGGGGAUCUAGAGUGUGCGGGAGGUAUGCGGAAUGCGUGGUGUAGCGGUGAAAUGCAUAGAUAUCACGCAGAACCCCGAUUGCGAAGGCAGCAUACCGGUGCACAACUGACGCUCAGGCACGAAAGCGUGGGUAUCGAACAGGAUUAGAUACCCUAGUAGUC
rnacentral:rRNA from 1 species